rnacentral:sRNA from 1 species
UGUUCCUUUGGCAUUUGGUUCUUGAAGAGUUUUUUUCUUCUUCUUUUGUUUUCCACGUUUCUUGAUGAUAUAACAACUAU